GCUAGGGGGUCAUCCCGACUUACCAACCCUUUGCAAACUCCGAAUACCAAUGAGUGAUAUGCGGGAGACACACUACGGGUGCUAACGUCCGUUGUGAAGAGGGAAACAACCCAGACCGCCAGCUAAGGUCCCAAAGUACUAGUUAAGUGGGAAACGAUGUGGAAAGGCAUAGACAGCUAGGAGGUUGGCUUAGAAGCAGCCAUCCUUUAAAGAAAGCGUAAUAGCUCACUAGUCGAGUCGGUCUGCGCGGAAGAUGUAACGGGGCUAAACUAGUCACCGAAGCUGCGGAUUCAUCAUUUAUGAUGAGUGGUAGGGGAGCGUUCUGUAAGCCGUUGAAGGUGUGUUGUAAAGCAUGCUGGAGGUAUCAGAAGUGCGAAUGCUGACAUGAGUAACGAUAAGGGGAGUGAAAAACUCCCCCGCCGAAAGACCAAGGUUUCCUGUCCCAUGUUAAUCAGGGCAGGGUAAGUCGGCCCCUAAGGCGAGGCGGAAACGCGUAGUCGAUGGGAAACAGAUUAAUAUUUCUGUACUUCUAUAUAUUGCGAAGGAGGGACGGAGUAGGCUAGGUGAGCACGGCGUUGGUAGUCCGUGUGAAAGUAUGUAGGCGGUUGACUUAGGUAAAUCCGGGUCUUCAUUAACGCUGAGAUACGAGACGAGUGUCCAAGGACAUGAAGUCAUUGAUGCCAUGCUUCCAGGAAAAGCUUCUAAGCUUCAGAUAUAUAGGAACCGUACCCCAAACCGACACAGGUGGUUAGGUAGAGAAUACUAAGGCGCUUGAGAGAACUCGGGUGAAGGAACUAGGCAAAAUAGUACCGUAACUUCGGGAGAAGGUACGCUCUCUAAUGUGAAUGACUUGCUCAGUAAGCAUCGGAGAGUCGAAGUAACCAGGUGGCUGGAACUGUUUAUUAAAAACACAGCACUGUGCAAAAUCGAAAGAUGACGUAUACGGUGUGACGCCUGCCCGGUGCCGGAAGGUUAAUUGAUUGGGUUAGCUCUGCGAAGCUCAUGAUCGAAGCCCCGGUAAACGGCGGCCGUAACUAUAACGGUCCUAAGGUAGCGAAAUUCCUUGUCGGGUAAGUUCCGACCUGCACGAAUGGCGUAACGAUGGCCACACUGUCUCCACCCGAGACUCAGUGAAAUUGAAUUUGCGGUUAAGAUGCCGUAUACCCGCGGCUAGACGGAAAGACCCCGUGAACCUUUACUAUAGCUUGACAGUGAACAUUGCUCCUACAUGUGUAGGAUAGGUGGGAGGCUUUGAAACUUUGUCGCCAGAUGAAGUGGAGCCAACCUUGAAAUACCACCCUUGUAUGCGUGAUGUUCUAACCUAGGGCCCUAAUCGGGCUUGGGGACACUGUCUGGUGGGUAGUUUGACUGGGGCGGUCUCCUCCCAAAGAGUAACGGAGGAGCACGAAGGUUGGCUAAGUACGGUCGGACAUCGUACGGUUAGUGUAAUGGUAGAAGCCAGCUUAACUGCGAGACAGACACGUCGAGCAGGUACGAAAGUAGGUCAUAGUGAUCCGGUGGUUCUGUAUGGAAGGGCCAUCGCUCAACGGAUAAAAGGUACUCCGGGGAUAACAGGCUGAUACCGCCCAAGAGUUCAUAUCGACGGCGGUGUUUGGC
rnacentral:rRNA from 1 species